rnacentral:lncRNA from 1 species
UUGUCACUCUGCCAGGUCCUGUUGGCAAGAAGCUUGUUCAGAGAAAGCUGAUUUAUAAGGGAGUUUUGCAGCAUUCUUGCAGAUCACUGAAUUCCCAGGCCCAGAAAGGAGGAAUGGCACCAACCAGAGGCAGGGGCAGAAAGGGGAUUGGAGUGGGAAGAUCACAGGCUCUGGAGACAGCAGGACCUGCGCUUGCAUCUUGAGCUGGCUGCUUACCAGGUUUGUGACCCCGGGUAACCGACCAAACCACUCUGGACUCAGUGAUUUGAACUCUAAAGUGGGGUUAAUAAUACUUCCUUGGAGGACUGUGUGAUUGUAAGGAGUAACCAAGAAGGUCUGUGUGAAGUGUCCGAGGCUGGUGUGCACCUGCCCUCCACAAAUGAAUCUGAGUCAAUGUCACCUUUGACUGCUGUGUGCAUACACAAAGAAUCAUUGUAAAUGUACUUCUCUGAAAAGCCGCUUCACAGUCCUGCCUGACCCUCCAUCUAGCUUCCUAGGAGCUGGGUCAGGAUUAUCAGUCCACUACUAGAGUCAGGAAAAGGAAUGCCAGGUGAUCAGACUAUAACAUAGGGUCAACUAUAGAGCACAGGAGUUCCCAACUCCAGUUCCAUGGAACAUGAGGCUUCACUCAGGAAGUAUUCACAUCAGAGAUCGCUCACAGCUGCGAAAACCUUUACCCGUGUGUCCCAGAUUAAAAGCACAAUAACAGCUUAUGAAGUGGAUAACAUCUGUUGUGGUGUGUGAAGAUAGCCUGAUGGGGUCUUUAAAAUAGAUAAGAUUAGCAUAGUGAUAAACAGAGUGGGUGGCUUACACCUGUAAUCUCAACACUUUGGGAAGCUGAGCAGGCAGAUCACUUGAACCCAGGAGUUCGAGAUCAGCCUGAGCAACAAAGUGAGAACCCCACCACCCUCCAAUCCCCGGCACCUCUACAAAAAAACAAAACAAACAAAACUUAGCUGGGCAUGGUGGCGUGCACCUAUAGUCCCUGCUACUUGGGAGGCUGAGCUGAGAGGAUCACUUGAGCCUAGGCUGUGGUGAGCCAUAAUUGCACCACUGCACUCCAGCCUGGGCAAGAGAGUGAGACCUUGUCUCAAAAACAAAAACAAAAACAAAAAAAA